rnacentral:rRNA from 1 species
ACGGACUGAAGGCUCUUUCUCGAUUCCGUGGAAAGUGGUGCAUGGCCGUUUUUGGUUGGUGGAUCGAUCCGUCUGGUUAAUUCCGUUAACGAACGAGACCUCGGCACUCCGAAUAGCGCGGCGGACGUCGCGGCCUCCGGGCCGUCUUCCGCACGAGCUUCUUAGAGGGACCGUCCCCCGCCGGGGAAGGAGGUGCGAGGCAACGACAGGUCUGUGAUGCCCUUAGAUGUUCUGGGCCGCACGCGCAUUACACUGACGCGUCCAACGGGUGACUCCCGACCCGAAGGGGCCGGGGAAUCCGCAAGGCGCGUCGUGAUGGGGAUUGAACGUUGCAAUUGUUGUUCACGAACGAGGAAUUCCUAGUAGGCGCGGGUCAUCAACCCGCGCCGAUUACGUCCCUGCCCUUUGUACACACC